ACGGGAGCAGCGCAGAACUGAGGGGAUCUCCUCCCUGGCGCCGGGGACAAGCUCGAAACCGCGCCCCUCCUUCCUCCUUUCCUGUCGCCACGCCCCCCUCACCCGUACGGACCCGAGGCAAGGCCGGCGCAGGAGGCUUCACCCCCGGAACGAGUGCUUCGGCGUAGCCGUCGCUGUCGUUGUCUUCGUCGCCGCUGCAGCCGCCUGUAAAGCCGCCGGAGCCGGGCUUGAAAACAUCUCCGGUCUCGGUCCGUCUCUCACCACAGCCUCCUCGCUCCCAGGACAGCGUCGCCCCGCGAUUGGCUGCGACGCGAGCACGUGACACCCGCGGACACGUGAC
rnacentral:lncRNA from 1 species